GAUGAACGCUGGCGGCGUGCCUAAUACAUGCAAGUCGAGCGAACAGACGAGGAGCUUGCUCCUCUGACGUUAGCGGCGGACGGGUGAGUAACACGUGGAUAACCUACCUAUAAGACUGGGAUAACUUCGGGAAACCGGAGCUAAUACCGGAUAAUAUAUUGAACCGCAUGGUUCAAUAGUGAAAGACGGUUUUGCUGUCACUUAUAGAUGGAUCCGCGCCGCAUUAGCUAGUUGGUAAGGUAACGGCUUACCAAGGCAACGAUGCGUAGCCGACCUGAGAGGGUGAUCGGCCAGACUGGAACUGAGACACGGUCCAGACUCUGACGGGAGGCAGCAGUAGGGAAUCUUCCGCAAUGGGCGAAAGCCUGACGGAGCAACGCCGCGUGAGUGAUGAAGGUCUUCGGAUCGUAAAACUCUGUUAUUAGGGAAGAACAAAUGUGUAAGUAACUAUGCACGUCUUGACGGUACCUAAUCAGAAAGCCACGGCUAACUACGUG
rnacentral:rRNA from 1 species